UUUUCAAAACUGUUUUUCUUUUUUUUAAUAAUGGUUUUCAAUAAACUAGACUGUUGUGAUAAUUUGCUAUGUACUUGAUACAUUUUUGUUCAAUAUUCAGGAACACACAGAAAAGGGGAGAAUCAUUUGGAAUCAGCAGAAUAGGUAGCAAAAUUAAAGGAGUAUUCAAAAGUACCACAAUGGAGGGAGCUAUGUUGCCUAAUUAUGGUGUAGCUGAAGGUGAAGAUGAUUUUAUUGAAGAAGGUAUUGUUGUAAUGGAAGAUGAUUCUCCAGUGGAGGCUGUGAGCACACCUAAUACUCCCCGAAACCUUGCUGCAUGGAAAAUUAGCAUUCCAUAUGUAGACUUUUUUGAGGAUCCC
rnacentral:sRNA from 1 species